rnacentral:rRNA from 1 species
GUGGGGAAUUUUGGACAAUGGGCGCAAGCCUGAUCCAGCAAUGCCGCGUGCAGGAAGAAGGCCUUCGGGUUGUAAACUGCUUUUGUACGGAACGAAACGGUCCUGGUUAAUACCUGGGGCUAAUGACGGUACCGUAAGAAUAAGCACCGGCUAACUACGUGCCAGCAGCCGCGGUACUACGUAGGGUGCAAGCGUUAAUCGGAAUUACUGGGCGUACAGCGUGCGCAGGCGGUUUUGUAAGACAGGCGUGAAAUCCCCGGGCUCAACCUGGGAAUUGCGCUUGAGACUGCAAGGCUGGAGUGCGGCAGAGGGGGAUGGAAUUCCGCGUGUAGCAGUGAAAUGCGUAGAUAUGCGGAGGAACACCGAUGGCGAAGGCAAUCCCCUGGGCCUGCACUGACGCUCAUGCACGAAAGCGUGGGGAGCAAACAGGAUUAGAAACCCCUGUAGUCC